UACGAAGGGUGCAAGCGUUACUCGGAAUUACUGGGCGUAAAGCGUGCGUAGGUGGUGAGUUAAGUCUGUCGUGAAAGCCCCGGGCUCAACCUGGGAAUGGCGAUGGAUACUGGCUCGCUAGAGUGCGGUAGAGGAGAGUGGAAUUCCCGGUGUAGCAGUGAAAUGCGCAGAUAUCAGGAGGAACACCGGUGGCGAAGGCGGGUCUCUGGGCCGUAACUGACGCUGAGGAGCGAAAGCGUGGGGAGCGAACAGG
rnacentral:rRNA from 1 species